UGAGGAAUAUUGGACAAUGGGUGGAAGCCUGAUCCAGCCAUCCCGCGUGAAGGAUGACGGUUCUAUGGAUUGUAAACUUCUUUUGUACAGGGAUAAACCUGCCCUCGUGAGGGCAGCUGAAGGUACUGUACGAAUAAGCACCGGCUAACUCCGUGCCAGCAGCCGCGGUAAUCCGGAGGGUGCGAGCGUUAUCCGGGUUUAUUGGGUUUAAAGGGUCCGUAUGCGGGCCUGUAAGUCAGUGGUGAAAUCUCAUAGCUUAACUAUGAAACUGCCAUUGAGACUGCAGGCCUUGAGUAAAUUUGAAGUGGCUAGAAUAAGUAGUGUAGCGGUGAAAUGCAUAGAUAUUACUGAGAACACCGAUUGCGAAGGCAGGUCACUAAGAUUUAACUGACGCUGAUGGACGAAAGCGUGG
rnacentral:rRNA from 1 species